rnacentral:rRNA from 1 species
AUACGGAGGGGGUUAGCGUUGUUCGGAAUUACUGGGCGUAAAGCGUACGUAGGCGGAUUGGAAAGUAUGGGGUGAAAUCCCAGGGCUCAACCCUGGAACUGCCUCAUAAACUCCCAGUCUAGAGUUCGAGAGAGGUGAGUGGAAUUCCGAGUGUAGAGGUGAAAUUCGUAGAUAUUCGGAGGAACACCAGUGGCGAAGGCGGCUCACUGGCUCGAUACUGACGCUGAGGUACGAAAGUGUGGGGAGCAAACAGGAUUAGAUACCCCAGUAGUCC